rnacentral:other from 1 species
GCAUCUGGGAACGAUGCACUUCAGGAUGAAGAUCAGUUACUAAGGAUAAGUAACCGAGCAGGAUGCUGGACGAAUAUGGAUAUGACAAUCUACAGGGUGUAGAUUGCAAUGGAUUGAUGAGGAACGCCUCUAGCUUGAGGUAGGACGAACAUCAGGAUGAUGUCAGGGACACCGCUCAAGGAACAAGUGAUGUGUGCUUGCUAGGACAGUAAGUGCUCAGGAAGAAUAGGACACCGCUAGGACGGCGAAACAGGAUACGCUGAGGAAUUCAGCCACUAUUAUGGAUGAUGCAUGGAGCAGAUAUUAGUAGCCGGACUGCUGCGAGUAAGAUCAUAAGCCUCGACACCUAUGUGUUGAGGCUUUUCUUAUACAUG